rnacentral:rRNA from 1 species
UACGGGAGGCAGCAGUGGGGAAUAUUGCACAAUGGGCGCAAGCCUGAUGCAGCCAUGCCGCGUGUAUGAAGAAGGCCUUCGGGUUGUAAAGUACUUUCAGUCGUGAGGAAGGUGUUAAGGUUAAUAACCUUAGCAAUUGACGUUAGCGACAGAAGAAGCACCGGCUAACUCCGUGCCAGCAGCCGCGGUAAUACGGAGGGUGCGAGCGUUAAUCGGAAUUACUGGGCGUAAAGGGCACGCAGGCGGUUAAUUAAGUUGGAUGUGAAAUCCCCGGGCUUAACCUGGGAAUGGCAUUCAAGACUGGUUAGCUAGAGUCUUGUAGAGGGGGUUAGAAUUCCAUGUGUAGCGGUGAAAUGCGUAGAGAUGUGGAGGAAUACCGGUGGCGAAGGCGGCCCCUGGACAAAGACUGACGCUCAUGUGCGAAAGCGUGGGGAGCGAAAC